rnacentral:rRNA from 1 species
CUUAGUACGGCGAGUGAAGCGGUAAAAGCUCAAAUUUGAAAUCUGGUACUUUCAGUGCCCGAGUUGUAAUUUGUAGAAUUUGUCUUUGAUUAGGUCCUUGUCUAUGUUCCUUGGAACAGGACGUCAUAGAGGGUGAGAAUCCCGUUUGGCGAGGAUACCUUUUCUCUGUAAGACUUUUUCGAAGAGUCGAGUUGUUUGGGAAUGCAGCUCAAAGUGGGUGGUAAAUUCCAUCUAAAGCUAAAUAUUGGCGAGAGACCGAUAGCGAACAAGUACAGUGAUGGAAAGAUGAAAAGAACUUUGAAAAGAGAGUGAAAAAGUACGUGAAAUUGUUGAAAGGGAAGGGCAUUUGAUCAGACAUGGUGUUUUUUGCAUGCACUCGCCUCUCGUGGGCUUGGGCCUCUCAAAAAUUUCACUGGGCCAACAUCAAUUCUGGCAGUAGGAUAAAUCAUUAAGAAUGUAGCUACCUCGGUAGUGUUAUAGCUUAUUGGAAUACUGCUAGCUGGGAUUGAGGACUGCGCUUCGGCAAGGAUGUUGGCAUAAUGGUUAAAUGCCGCCCGUCUU